ACGACAAACACUUGGAAGCAAGUUUCUUCGUGUAUAUACAACGAUUUGCCUACACUAUGUGGUUCAACGUGAAUUUUACCUUCUUUCUCAUCAUCAUGGGAAUAUUAAUGACUGUAGCCGCAGGCACUAAAUCACAAUGUCGACAAGAUUGCUUGAUAGAACAUCUGAACAGUGAAAGUCGUCAUAGAUUCGAUUAUUUUAUAAAAUGUUUUAACGAUAAAUGUAGAUAAGAUUAAUUGUAUACAAUUCACUGAAUGAAAUCAAUAAACGAUAUGCGAUAUUAUAAGCAAUGAUUUGAAAGAGAACAGGUAUACAACACAGAAAAGAACCCCAGAAAACGUAAUUCUUGCAUGCCAGAUGUGUUUCUAUAUCUGUUCUAUAUAAAAGUCAUGCUUAUAUUAUCAAAUAUAUCUUCCA